rnacentral:rRNA from 1 species
AAUCUGCUUCAAGAUUUAGGUUUUAGCUAGCCAGAUUCAUAACUCAUGCAUUUCAUCCUUUGUUAGCAUAUUGGAUUUGUUACUUGCUUUUCACUGAUUUUAACUGAGUUCUACUAUUUAUGGAACAUUUCAUUGAGGCCAAGUCAUCUUACUUAGAUAUGAAUGUGGCUUAAUACAUUAUAAAUAUUAUAUUUGAUUACGAUUUUACUGGAAAUUGCCGUUUAACCAACUGCUGCAAUAUUAUUACUGUACAAUAAGUAUUUCAAAUAUCCAAUUAAAGCUUCCUGCUACUGCAAAUAUUGAUCAGAAGGAAAUUUGAUUAAUGAAACUUAAAUUGCGCCCAAACCGGGAAUCGAACCCAGUACCUUUCCCUUGCUGGGGGAGCGGCUGUACCACUUCGCCCACCUGAAGACUGUGUGCAUGGAAUAAUGGAAUAGGACCUCGGUUCUAUUUUGUUGGUUUCCGGAAUCUGAGGUAAUGAUCAAUGGGGACAGGCGGGGGCAUUCGUAUUGCGACGUUAGAGGUGAAAUUCUUGGAUCGUCGCAAGACGGACCGAAGCGAAAGCAUUUGCCAAGUAUGUUCCCGUCGAUCAAGAACGAAAGUUAGAGGUUCGAAGGCGAUCAGAUACCGCCCUAGUUCUAACCAUAAACAAUGCCUGCCAGCGAUCCGCCGGCGUCUUUUCCGAUGACCCGGCGGGCAGCUUCCGGGAAACCAGAGCUUUUGGGUUCCGGGGGAAGUAUGGUUGCAAAGCUGAAACUUAAAGGAAUUGACGGAAGGGCACCACCAGGAGUGGAGCCUGCGGCUUAAUUUGACUCAACACGGGAAAACUCACCAGGCCCGGACACCGGAAGGAUUGACAGAUUGAUAGCUCUUUCUUGAUUCGGUGGGUGGUGGUGCAUGGCCGUUCUUAGUUGGUGGAGCGAUUUGUCUGGUUAAUUCCGAUAACGAACGAGACUCUAGCCUACUAACUAGACGUAUCUGGUAUCAGCAAUCGUGCUACCAGCGAUCAUAUCUCUUCUUAGAGGGACAGGCGGCUUCUAGCCGCACGAGACUGAGCAAUAACAGGUCUGUGAUGCCCUUAGAUGUCCUGGGCCGCACGCGCGCUACACUGAAGGAAUCAGCGUGUCUUCCCUGUCCGAAAGGACCGGGUAACCCGCUGAACCUCCUUCGUGCUUGGGAUUGGGGCUUGCAAUUAUUCCCCAUGAACGAGGAAUUCCCAGUAAGCGCGAGUCAUAAGCUCGCGUUGAUUACGUCCCUGCCCUUUGUACACACCGCCCGUCGCUACUACCGAUUGAAUGAUUUAGUGAGGUCUUCGGACCGGUGCGCGGAGGCGGUUUACCGCUCCCGAUGUUGUCGGAAAGAUGACCAAACUUGAUCAUUUAGAGGAAGUAAAAGUCGUAACAAGGUUUCCGUAGGUGAACCUGCGGAAG